UGGGGGUCCAAAGUCUAAAAUGCAGGUGUGGGCGCCGCUGGCUCCUGCGGGAGGCUCGAGGGAAGACUUUCCUUGCCUUCCUCAGCUCCUGGGGCCACCUGCACUCCUUGGCCCGUGGCCCCCUCCGUCCUCAGAGUGCGUGGCUCCAGCCUCGGCUUCGGGGGCACGCUCCUUCUGUGACUCUGACCUCCUGCCUCCCUCUGCCUCGUGCUGACCCACCCAGAUAACCCAGGGCAGUCUUCCUGUUCCAAGACCCUCAACUCCACCAGGACUGCAGAGUCCCAUGGUGAUUCCGGGGGCCCCCUCGUCUGUGACCUCCCCGCAGCCUGGGUUCUGGUGGGGCUGGCCAGCUGGGGCUUGGACUGCCGGCACCCUGUCUACCCCAGCAUCUUCACCAGGGUCGACUACUUCUCCAACUGGAUCCACAAGACCCAGAGGCUCACACCUCCCCUGAUCCCACAUCUGCUCCUCAGACCCAGUCUCCAGAGCGGCCUCUGCAGGCCGCCAGCUCAGCGGGGCGCGGCACAGCCCUCAUACCUCCCCAGACCUGGCUCCUGCUACUGUUUGCUCUCAGGGACCCACAGCAGGCCCUGCGGUGACCCACCGAGCCCCUCUGUCCAGCUCUCUGCCUCAGACCCAGUCUGCUUGCUGGAACCUUCCACACCUCCCCUCUCCCAGCCCCACUGGCUCUCAGGGUUCCUCUGGGACUUCCCUGUCCAUCAGCUGCCACCCCCCAAGCCAAGCCUGAAAAAACAAACAGAAACAAAUAAAGGACUCAUUCCGCUUCUGUCUUGGGA